GCCACGGAAUAGCUCAGUUGGUAGAGCAGAAGAAUCUUAAUCUCAGGGACAUGGGUUCGAGCACCAUGUUGGGCA